rnacentral:rRNA from 1 species
UACGAAGGGGGCUAGCGUUGCUCGGAAUUACUGGGCGUAAAGGGAGCGUAGGCGGAUAGUUAAGUUGGGGGUGAAAGCCCGGGGCUCAACCUCGGAAUUGCCUUCAAUACUGGCUAUCUAGAGUAUGGGAGAGGUGUGUGGAACUCCGAGAGUAGAGGUGAAAUUCGUAGAUAUUCGGAAGAACACCAGUGGCGAAGGCGACACACUGGCCCAUUACUGACGCUGAGUCUCGAAAGCGUGGGGAGCAAACAGG